rnacentral:rRNA from 1 species
AAACUUAAAGGAAGUUCGACGGGGCCCGCGCAAGCGGAGGAGCAUGUGGUUUAAUUCGAUGAUACGCGAGGAACCUUACCUGGGCUCGAACGUAAGAUGACUGUAGGUGAAAGCUUACAUCUCUUCGGAGCAUUUUACGAGGUGCUGCAUGGUUGUCGUCAGCUCGUGCCGUGAGGUGUCGGGUUAAGUCCCAUAACGAGCGCAACCCCUACCUUUAGUUGCCAUCAGGUUAAGCUGGGGACUCUAAAGGAACUGCCUACGCAAGUAGUGAGGAAGCGGGGAUGACGUCAAAUCAGCACGGCCCUUACGUCCAGGGCUACACACGUGCUACAAUGGCCGAUACAGAGGGCAGCUACCUGGUGACAGGAUGCAAAUCUCCAAAGUCGGUCUCAGUUCGGAUCGGAGUCUGCAACCCGACUCCGUGAAGUUGGAUUCGCUAGUAAUCGCGCAUCAGCCAUGGCGCGGUGAAUACGUUCCCGGGCCUU